UACGUAGGUGGCGAGCGUUGUCCGGAUUUAUUGGGCGUAAAGCGAGCGCAGGUGGUUUCUUAAGUCUGAUGUGAAAGCCCACGGCUCAACCGUGGAAGGUCAUUGGAAACUGGGGAACUUGAAUGCAGAAGAGGAGAGUGGAAUUCCAUGUGUAGCGGUGAAAUGCGUAGAUAUAUGGAGGAACACCAGUGGCGAAGGCGACUCUCUGGUCUGUUAUUGACACUGAGGCUCGAAAGCGUGGGGAGGCAAACAGGAUUAGA
rnacentral:rRNA from 1 species